rnacentral:rRNA from 1 species
UGGCGAACGGGUGAGUAACACGUGGGGCAACCUGCCCAAAAGAGGGGGAUAACACUUGGAAACAGGUGCUAAUACCGCAUAACCAUAGUUACCGCAUGGUAACUAUGUAAAAGGUGGCUAUGCUACCGCUUUUGGAUGGGCCCGCGGCGCAUUAGCUAGUUGGUGGGGUAAAGGCUUACCAAGGCAAUGAUGCGUAGCCGAACUGAGAGGUUGAUCGGCCACAUUGGGACUGAGACACGGCCCAAACUCCUACGGAAGGCAGCAG